UCCUUCCUGUUAAAGCACCUUGCUAAAAUUGCAUUUGUCAGACUGAUUGUCUGGCUAUUGCAGUGAUGCCAGUAGGGUACACCCAGGAAGAAGAAUAAUAUGCACAGUGUCAUAAAAAGACUUGGGUGGACCUCUUUCUUAAUGUCCAGUGUCCUUGAUCUUGUGAUUCUGUGCUACAUUG
ensembl:snoRNA